rnacentral:rRNA from 2 species
GGCCCAGAUCGUUUACCGUGAAAAAAUUAGAGUGUUCAAAGCAGGCAGAUCCAAUUUUCUGCCACCGAAUACAUUAGCAUGGGAUAAUGGAAUAGGACCCUGUCCUCCUAUUUUCAGUUGGUUUUGGCAGCGCGAGGACUAGGGUAAUGAUUAAUAGGGAUAGUUGGGGGCAUUAAUAUUUAAUUGUCAGAGGUGAAAUUCUUGGAUUUAUGAAAGAUUAACUUCUGCGAAAGCAUCUGCCAAGGAUGUUUUCAUUAAUCAAGAACGAAAGUUAGGGGAUCGAAGACGAUCAGAUACCGUCGUAGUCUUAACCAUAAACGAUGCCGACCAGCGAUUAGGAGACGUUGAAUACAAAACACCACCAUCGGCGCGGUCGUCCUUGGCGUCGGUCCUUCGGGGCCGGCGCGAGGGCGGCUUAGCCCGGUGGCACCGGUGAAUGACUCCCCUAGCAGCUUGUGAGA